rnacentral:rRNA from 1 species
GCGGCGUGCCUAAUACAUGCAAGUCGAGCGAACAGACGAGGAUCUUGCUCCUCUGACGUUAGCGGCGGACGGGUGAGUAACACGUGGAUAACCUACCUAUAAGACUGGGAUAACUUCGGGAAACCGGAGCUAAUACCGGAUAACAUGUUGAACCGCAUGGUUCAACAGUGAAAGACGGUCUUGCUGUCACUUAUAGAUGGAUCCGCGCCGCAUUAGCUAGUUGGUAAGGUAACGGCUUACCAAGGCAACGAUGCGUAGCCGACCUGAGAGGGUGAUCGGCCACACUGGAACUGAGACACGGUCCAGACUCUUACGGGAGGCAGCAGUAGGGAAUCUUCCGCAAUGGGCGAAAGCCUGACGGAGCAACGCCGCGUGAGUGAUGAAGGUCUUCGGAUCGUAAAACUCUGUUAUUAGGGAAGAACAAAUGUGUAAGUAACUAUGCACGUCUUGACGGUACCUAAUCAGAAAGCCACGGCUAACUACGUGCCAGCAGCCGCGGUAAUACGUAGGUGGCAAGCGUUAUCCGGAAUUAUUGGGCGUAAAGCGCGCGUAGGCGGUUUUUUAAGUCUGAUGUGAAAGCCCACGGCUCAACCGUGGAGGGUCAUUGGAAACUGGAAAACUUGAGUGCAGAAGAGGAAAGUGGAAUUCCAUGUGUAGCGGUGAAAUGCGCAGAGAUAUGGAGGAACACCAGUGGCGAAGGCGACUUUCUGGUCUGUAACUGACGCUGAUGUGCGAAAGCGUGGGGAUCAAACAGGAUUAGAUACCCUGGUAGUCCACGCCGUAAACGAUGAGUGCUAAGUGUUAGGGGGUUUCCGCCCCUUAGUGCUGCAGCUAACGCAUUAAGCACUCCGCCUGGGGAGUACGACCGCAAGGUUGAAACUCAAAGGAAUUGACGGGGACCCGCACAAGCGGUGGAGCAUGUGGUUUAAUUCGAAGCAACGCGAAGAACCUUACCAAAUCUUGACAUCCUCUGACUCCUCUAGAGAUAGAGUUUUCCCCUUCGGGGGACAGAGUGACAGGUGGUGCAUGGUUGUCGUCAGCUCGUGUCGUGAGAUGUUGGGUUAAGUCCCGCAACGAGCGCAACCCUUAAGCUUAGUUGCCAUCAUUAAGUUGGGCACUCUAAGUUGACUGCCGGUGACAAACCGGAGGAAGGUGGGGAUGACGUCAAAUCAUCAUGCCCCUUAUGAUUUGGGCUACACACGUGCUACAAUGGACAAUACAAAGGGUAGCGAAACCGCGAGGUCAAGCAAAUCCCAUAAAGUUGUUCUCAGUUCGGAUUGUAGUCUGCAACUCGACUAUAUGAAGAUGGAAUCGCUAGUAAUCGUAGAUCAGCAUGCUACGGUGAAUACGUUCCCGGGUCUUGUACACACCGCCCGUCACACCACGAGAGUUUGUAACACCCGAAGCCGGUGGAGUAACCUUUUGGAGCUAGCCGUCGAAGGUGGGACAAAUGAUUGGGGUGAAG